AACGAACGCUGGCGGCAGGCUUAACACAUGCAAGUCGAGCGCCCCGCAAGGGGAGCGGCAGACGGGUGAGUAACGCGUGGGAAUCUACCGUGCCCUACGGAAUAACGCAUGGAAACGUGUGCUAAUACCGUAUACGCCCUACGGGGGAAAGAUUUGUCGGGGUAGGAUGAGCCCGCGUUGGAUUAGCUAGUUGGUGGGGUAAAGGCCUACCAAGGCGACGAUCCAUAGCUGGUCUGAGAGGAUGAUCAGCCACAUUGGGACUGAGACACGGCCCAAACUCCUACGGGAGGCAGCAGUGGGUAAUAUUGGACAAUGGGCGCAAGGCUGAUCCAGCCAUGCCGCGUGAGUGAUGAAGGUCUUAGGAUUGUAAAGCCCUUUCACCGGUGAAGAUAAUGACGGUAGCCGGAGAAGAAGCCCCGGCUAACUUCGUGCCAGCCGCCGCCGUAA
rnacentral:rRNA from 1 species